GGGGAGAUAGAUCGUAAUUGGUAGCGUGGCGGACUGUAAAUCCGUUGUCUUUAGACCUUGCUGGUUCAAGCCCAGUUCUCCUCA
rnacentral:tRNA from 1 species